AAUCAGUAUUCCAGAUCUCUUUUGGAAGAAUUGCAUGCCAUGUGCUCCAGGCCAAAGAUGAAAAGAACCAUCCAGAAUGUUAUUAGCAAUAAAUCCAAAAGCCAAGGUCUGUCAUUGUAUGAGGUUGUGUCAGUGCCCUUGGCAAAGGUAAUUUACACUCCUGUGAUGGCAGCAUUAAUGUAGAAAUGUACAUUGAGAUUUUAAAGCAACAUAUGCUGCUUUAAGAUGACAUCUUUUCUAGGGACGUCCAUGCUUUUUUCACCCCCAGAGGACAUGGCUG